rnacentral:rRNA from 1 species
CCUACGGGAGGCAGCAGUGAGGAAUAUUGGUCAAUGGGCGUAAGCCUGAACCAGCCAAGUCGCGUGAGGGAUGAAGGCUCUAUGGAUCGUAAACCUCUUUUAUAAGGGAAUAAAGGGUGGGACGUGUCCUAUUUUGUAUGUACCUUAUGAAUAAGGAUCGGCUAACUCCGUGCCAGCAGCCGCGGUAAUACGGAGGAUCCGAGCGUUAUCCGGAUUUAUUGGGUUUAAAGGGUGCGUAGGCGGUCUUUUAAGUUAGCGGUGAAAUCCUGUGGCUCAACCAUAGAAUUGCCGUUGAAACUGGGGGGCUUGAGAAUGUUUGCGGCAGGCGGAAUGCGUGGUGUAGCGGUGAAAUGCUUAGAUAUCACGCAGAACCCCGAUUGCGAAGGCAGCCUGCCAAGCCAUGACUGACGCUGAUGCACGAAAGCGUGGGGAUCAAACAGGAUUAGAUACCCGAGUAGUC